AAAAUCGGGGUUCCAAUAGGUAUAUAUAGGAGUCGCAAAACAAAAACCGAUUAAAGCAAGUACCCAGGGAGGCGUGCCUGCGCGGGCUAGGAGGCACGCUCGCGCAGCUGGGCUACGCGUAGAGCUGGAAAAAAAUGACCCAACCCGAACCCGACUCGAAAAAAGCGAGUUAAGGUUGAGUUUUUCGACUCGAAAACUUAAAUGGGUCGACACGAACGCGAAAUUAAAUGGGUUAGGUUAAGGUUGAAAAUCUCAACCCAAAAACGAACCACUUAACCCAAAAACAUAAUUGCGUCGAAAUCAGGUCGGGUUAACCCGAACCCGACCUGAAUAACCUAAAAAAAAAAUCAGGAAAAAAAAACUUUAUAGAACCCUUACAGUAACCAGCCCAAAUUCAUGCCCAUAUAAAUGUAAAACCCUAGGGCUUCUUUUAUCAGUUGUAGCCGCUCAACACCCCUCCUCUCUCUCUCUUAAUUUUAUGAUUUUCUCCCUCUAAAAUCUCAAGCUCUCAACACUUCUUUAAGGGCUUCAAUCAUCUAUCUGCAGCCAAGAUCCUCAAUUGCAAAGCUUGUUAUUAUUAUGAACAGGAUGGUACGCCACCACUUGCAUCGCUUGCCCAAAAUUGAACCCGUCAAUGAAAUCAAAGUUUUUGUUUAAAAACCUGUAAAAACAUUUGUAUCAUUUGAACUUUUUGUAAUUUGCUAAGUACAUCAGACAUUAAAUAAACUUGGGUUUGUAAUUUAUUAAGAGUUAAAUAAUGUUUAUCAGCUUUUGGUUUGGAUUUAA